rnacentral:rRNA from 1 species
GAUGAACGCUGGCGGCGUGCCUAAUACAUGCAAGUCGAGCGAACAGACGAGGAGCUUGCUCCUCUGACGUUAGCGGCGGACGGGUGAGUAACACGUGGAUAACCUACCUAUAAGACUGGGAUAACUUCGGGAACCCGGAGCUAAUACCGGAUAAUAUAUUGAACCGCAUGGUUCAAUAGUGAAAGACGGUUUUGCUGUUACUUAUAGACGGAUCCGCGCCGCAUUAGCUAGUUGGUAAGGUAACGGCUUACCAAGGCAACGAUGCGUAGCCGACCUGAGAGGGUGAUCGGCCACACUGGAACUGAGACACGGUCCAGACUCCUACGGGAGGCAGCAGUAGGGAAUCUUCCGCAAUGGGCGAAAGCCUGACGGAGCAACGCCGCGUGAGUGAUGAAGGUCUUCGGAUCGUAAAACUCUGUUAUUAGGGAAGAACAAAUGUGUAAGUAACUAUGCACGUCUUGACGGUACCUAAUCAGAAAGCCACGGCUAACUACGUG